CUGAAUUCUCAUCAGCUAAAACACCAUGGAAAGGCUUCUUCAAGCUGGUUCUUCAUAUUUUAUUACAAGAGAAGACCAUGAAGCAGCGAAUCGCACUCUAGAAGUUUAAUGCGCGUUAGAGGUGGUUUGUCGUCGGUGGUAAUCCACAGACUUAGGCGAAUCGGUGGCGGAGUUUCACGAUGACCACAAGUUUACGAAUUGUUUUUAGUUGGUGGUUUUUAUUUAAUUAUGGAUUAUUUCUAGGGGUUUUGUAAUUAAGGGACUCUCCGGACUGUUUGGUUUUAUUUUGGAUUUGGAUUUUCGAAUUAACUCUUUAUUUGCGACGGUUGGCUAAAAAGUGGUUUUUACUAAACAAAGGC